rnacentral:rRNA from 1 species
GAUGAACGCUGGCGGCGUGCCUAAUACAUGCAAGUCGAGCGAACACACGAGGAGCUUGCUCCUCUGACGUUAGCGGCGGACGGGUCAGUAACACGUGGAUAACCUACCUCUAAGACUGGGAUAACUUCGGGAAACCGGAGCUAAUACCGGAAAAUAUAUUGAACCGCAUGGUUCAAUAGUGAAAGACGCUUUUGCUGUCACUUAUAGAUGGACCCGCGCCGCAUUAGCUAGUUGGUAAGGUAACGGGUUACCAAGGCAACGAUGCGUAGCCGACCUGAGAGGGUGAUCGGCCACACUGGAACUGAGACACGGUACAGACUCCUAGAGGGGGAAGCAGUAGGGAAUCUUACGCGAUGGAGGAGUGCCUAACAGUGCAACGCGGGGGGAGUGAUGAAGGACUUCGGAUCGUAGAGCGCUGUUGUUAGGAGAGAUCUAAUGUGUAAGUAACUAUGCACGUCUUGACGGUACCUAAUGAGAAAGCCACGGCUAACUACGUG